CUCUUGUGAGCAUUCGUGUGUGCAGGGCCCUGUUGAGCGAAUCAUAAGCGGCGGAUGGCGGCAUUAUAACCCAAUAGCUCGUUCGUGUAUUCUGGCUUUUAAAUUUUCUUUGAAAGGCGCGUGCGUAUACUACACUUACAACGCAACAUAGUAAUAGUAGAACGUAGUAAAAGAGGAGAAGUAGUAGUAAAGUCGAGCGUAGUAGUAGUAAAAAGCGGCGCGCGCAGCUUACUCCAAGUGCUUCCAACAGUUUCGAACGACGCAGCACAGCAGUACGGCACAACAGGCAACAUCGCCCGACGCAGGAAGAGAGAAAGAAACGCCGCGGCCUGCGAGUUGCGAUAGAGAAUCGAGCAGCGAAGAGAAGGUAGUUCUCCCAAAGGAGUCUCUCGCCAGUGCUAUCUAACAACAGCGAGCUCAACGUUUCGCGUAUUAUUGUGUACAUACUUAACGUAUACGCCUAUACGUCCCAACAUAUAUAUGCGACUCAUAUAUGUGUAGACGAGAGUUUGCCUCGUGUGUUCUUCAGGCCGACUCUUUUUAACAAUCCCCUGGUUCGGAUACUUUGAUCAGGUACACAAUUGCAACGCAUCGGCCUUUCGAUGUAUUUACUUUAAAGAAUUAGUGCGGAGGCGUGAAUCAAGAGGUUGCUUGAAGCAAUGAGUCUAAUCAUCAAUUCUUCUCCUUUAGCAGGUACCCAAAAACCCAAUGUCGGCUGGAAAAGAAAAGCUGCAACGACGGAUGAUGAAGACGAAACAAGGGGAGAAACAAAAAAAUCUAAAUACCAAUGGUAUUUUACGCUGGAAAGUGAAUCUUCAAACCCUACAGAUGAAGACGCAGAAUCAGUUUAUACUGUUCAAGGAGAUGAAACAGAAUAUGUACAAGACACAUCAGACAUAUCAGACACAUCUACAGACGCAUACAUGAGCGGUGGUGAAAAUGAUCAUGAUGUUUCCAUUCAUGUGGAAUUUGAAAUAGAUUCUGAACCCAAUAAUAGUAUUAAUAAUUCUUCUGCUUCUUCAGAGCCUGAGAACUUUCUUGCAAAUUAUGUUUCAUAUUCUGAGACUGAGGGGAUGGCAGAUGACAGUGACAUUUCUAGAUCUUCGUUGGAUAGUGAAGUCUCUCACUAUAUCUUCAAACUUUGCUUGCAGUGCAAAACUUUAAAUACUAAUCCUCUAUUUCGUUAUUGUCAAAAAUGUUAUCAGACAAAGAAAAGUCAACAUCCGCGAAUAAACCCGAGGAGGAUGAGCAAAUCUCAAAGUCAACUAAGCCAACUGAGCCAACUAAGCCAACUGAGCCAAUCGAGCAGUCAGCCUUCAGAAAGGCAACAGUUACAAUCCCAAUCGCUGACGCAAAUCCAACGACAAUUGAGCGAAGCGUCAACAGUCGUUUUGGGAAAUUCGCAAGAGCUAGGCUCAAUGGACUCGGGUAUUGCAACGAGCCAAUGCGAUUUAGACUCGGGUAUUGCAUCAGGGUCGAGCCAAGAAGUUGAGGUGUUGCUUGCUGGAAGUAGGACAUCCACAAGGAUAUCCCAACGCGAAGAAAUAGAUUCGGGCCAUGCACCUACCGAAGGUGAUUCGGAUCACUCUUAUUCGCAUAGCGAUGUCAGUACUGGUUUAAACCUGACCAAAGACAAGACAAGUGAGUUCCAAUCGUCUUCGAGCGAAAUUCGAACGCCACGCCAACCUAAGUCGCUAAUGCGACUACUUCAGCAGCGUCAUCGCCGCGACUUGGCUAAUAUCAGCGCCAGCAGUGGAAUAAGCAGUGGCAGCGGCAAUACCAGUGGCACUAUACCAAAGAAUUCAUCAUUAACAUCGUUCUCAGAGAGCGAGUUAACGAUAGCAUCGUCGACAGACAGCGGUCAGCAGAAGUGUCAUACUUGUGAUGAAAACCAAAGAGAUGCCGUUUUCGUCCACGGCAAAACAUGCCACAUAUUCUGCUGUUACACAUGCGCCAAAAAAUCGUGGGUCACCCAUAAUCGGCGCUGCCCAAUUUGCAAUCGUCAAGUCACACAAAUUCUCAAAGCAUUUUACUCGUACUUAAUACUUCUAGCUCGAUACAAGACUAGGCCGAAUGCAAGAAGAGCCCGUCGUUUGACUCGCAACGAGUUUUUACGAUCAUCUAUCUUCUUAGCGUCCUUAAAAUGAUUCGUCGUUGGAUUUAUGAAGCUCCCAAAAUAGCUUGUUAUAUACCUGAACGCAGUAACAUCUUAGAACACUUACCCCUGGUAAUAUGGAUUCUUUCCGUAGACUGUGGGAGAUCGCAGAGUGUUCACAAGCAUCAUUAUAUUUGCCGCUAAUGACGAUUAUAUUGUUAUUAAUCAAGAUCAUCAACUACAUCUACUUCUAAUUGAGUGAACAGCCUUAUUCAUUUUUUGGCUGCAAUCACAUGCUUACGUUGGUCUCUUUUACAAGUAAGCAAGUGUAAUAGUUGAAAGUUAUCAACUUGAAUAUAUAUAAAUAAACGAUUCAACAUAUUUUUAUAUUGUUAAUUAA
rnacentral:misc_RNA from 1 species